rnacentral:lncRNA from 1 species
UUGAUAGAUAAAGACAGCAAGAUGACAAGUUACAAAGCUAUUCUUGUCUGUUUUCUAUGUGUAUAUUUGCAUACUAGCUUUGUGUGUGGAUCUAAGAAGAAAGGUGUUGCUGCGUGGGUUCUGGGUUACUCUGCAAUGACUUCCUAUCUCUCAAUAAUUUUAACAUUUCUUGGUGGUAUGACUAUAAGAACGAUCUCUCCACCUACCAUAAUGCCGUGACAAACGUGUGUCCAUCAUCCACCCACCACCUUCCUCAAGUUUGUACCGCGGAUCUGGAAAUCGAAAUGGAAUGGCGCCAUACACAUGAACGUUUCCAGCAACGCCCCAUUUAUUUUAGUUCUGAACGAGCCUGACCAGGCAGAUCAGACUAAUAUGACUCCACAAGCUGUUACUGACCUUUGGCCAGAAAUUGAAAAACACUCUCAUGGGAAACCAUAGUAAGUCCUGCCGCUGCGCAUUAUAAUUUCCAAUGGUACGAUGAAUUCUUCCGGAUUUGCAAUGGCUGCCGAAUAGAUUAUAUCGCUGCGCAUGCAUAUAGCUGUAAUGCCAAUCAUAUCAUGUCGUAUUUGGAAAAAGCUCUACCAUAGAUACAACAAGCUUAUCUGGUUGACGGAGUUUGCGUGUCCACGAUCCACAGAUGAACAUCAGCAAUUACAUUUGAUGAAAACACUGCUACCAAAGCUAGAGGCUGCGAAUUACGUAUUUAGAUAUUCAUGGUUUAUGGCUAGAGUAAAGCGAAUAUUCGGUAGUGGCU